rnacentral:lncRNA from 1 species
UCCCCAGCUCAGAGUUCAAGGAUGCGGAGAGGACCAGACAGGGGUUAAAACCCACCCAAACGCGAAACGGCAGCCCCAGCCGCCCCCCGGCCGGGGCUCACUCCCUGACCGCCGCCCCCACCGCGGGCCGGCCCGCAUCUGGGCGCAGGGAACAGAUUUCCCGUUUCACACAGCGCACAAUGGGCCGCCUCAAAGGCGCGCCGCGGGCAUUGUUCGGGCCGGCGCCCGCGCGUCCUACCUCCGCGCGCGAAUUAACCCCCGUCACCCUCGCCAUUGUCGCCGCGCACUUCGGGGCCGGCCACAAAGGCGCCAGAAAACCCUGCCGUGUUCGGAAGGAUGGGGGUGGGGGGAGGGAGCCACCGGGAUGCGAGGACAAAGAAGGGUGCCCUCGGUGGAGACUCUCAGCCCCUGCAUUUGGAUUGCUGCCCGGCCCCCUGCCCCUCCUCCUCCCACAAACAGUUGUGCUGACAUCUCAGGAAAGAAGGGCCUGAGUGGGGGCUUCAUGGAGCCCAUUGUACAGAUGGGGAAGCUAAGGCUCAGAGAUGUCAGUCCAGUGAUUAUAUGCCCUGCCCUGCCCUAUUUUCCGGAGUCAAAUAUUCAGAAAAAUAACCAAGUUGUCCAAGAGUGA